rnacentral:lncRNA from 1 species
CCCUGUCGCAGGCACAGGUGCGGGAGAGCAGCCUGGAGCUGCUGAAGGGCUACCUGGGGGACAUCGUCGAUGCCAUCGUGGGCUCGGCGGACCAGUGUCCCCUCCCCAUGAGGGUGGCCUUCAAGCAGCUCCGCAGGCGGGUGGAGGAGCGAUUCCCCUUGGCACAGCACGAGGUGGGGCCCACGGCAGGGCUGGGGGUCUGCGCAGCUCCAGGACCACCAGCCCAAGCUCUGAGCUGCCCCUGACCCCAUCCCUGCCCCUGUCCCCAUCCAGGAGGUCCGGUACUUCUCCAUCAGUGGGUUCCUCUUCCUUCGCUUCUUCGCUCCCGCUGUCCUCACCCCGAAGCUCUUCGGGCUCUGGGAGCAGCACGCGGAGCCCUGCACCGGCCGCACGCUCCUGCUGCUCGCCAAGGCUCUGCAGACCAUCGGGAACCUGGGGCUGCAGCUGGGGCAGGGCAAGGAGCCAUGGAUGGCCCCGCUGAACGCCGUCCUCCUGCCCAGUGUCACCCGUGUCCGGGCCUUCCUGGACGCCCUGGUGACCGUGGGUGAGCGGGGACACAGGGCAGGGAGGGGACAUCGCUGGUGCCGGGUCAGUGGCAUCACCCUGGUGUGGCCAGGGGCACCCUCGGGCUGUGGGAGGUGGUGGCAUUUGGGGUGACACUGCUCCCUCCCUGCCACGGCCGCAGUGGACGAGGUGCCAGUGCCACUGGGACACUCCCAGCCCUCGGCCACCAUCAAGGAGGGUCCCCUGCACACCUGCCCAGAGGGGAGGGUGGCACUGCUGCCCCGCUUCGCCUUCAAGAAGAGGCACUUCAGGCUCAGCACCCAGGCCCUGGCCCAUGCCAAGGUGCCCCAGGGGCAGGUGCUCGGCUCCAUCCCAGUGGAGCAGAUCCGGGCAGUGGAGCAGGUGGACAAGGGCACCUUCCAGCACCCCCACGUCCUGCAGGUGCUGGCACAGGACAGCACCGGGCAGCUCCACACCACCUACCUCCAGUGCAAGGUGGGUGACCCCACCCUGCCCCAGCACCCCAAAAACCCCAGGAACCCCCCACUAUAGCACCCUGGGAGCGCCCCCCUCCCCAGCACCAGCCACGGGACAAUGGGAACGGUCCCAAAUCCAGCUGUACCCAGGCACCCUCUGUACUGGGAGCACUGAGAGUACUGAGGUCAAGGGGCUAACUGGGUGUACCGGGGAAGUUGGGGUGUCCUACCCUGGCAGUUUUGGGGUCACUGGGGUAUCCUGCAGCCCCAUCUCCCCUCACUUCCUACUGCGCAGCUUUGCCACCAAACUGUCACUCCUGCUCCCCAGCCCUGGUGCCCACCCCUUCCUCCUCCCUCCUCCUCCUCCUCCCCGGCACCGGCAGUGCCCUGGGGGGUGUCCCUGUCCCUGGUGUCCCCGCAGAGCGCCCCGGAGCUGUGGCAGUGGCUGUGGGCGCUGCGCCGGGCCACCAGCGCCAACCGCGA